GGCAAUAGGAUCACUAUGAGGUCUCUAUGGGGUCGGUUUGGGGUUUCUAUAGAGGCAAUAGUGGCUCUAUGGGGUUUCUAUAGAGGCAAUAAGGCCACUAUGAGAUUUUAUGGGGUCUCUAUGGGGCAUAUGGGGUCUCUAUGGGGUCUGUAUGGUGGCAAUAGGGUCUCUAUGGGGUCUGUAUGGGAGCAAUAGGGUCGGCAUGGGGUCUCUAUGGGGUCUGUAUGGGGGCAAUAGGGUCGGCAUGAAAUCUCUAUGGGGUCUGUAUGGGGGCAGUGGGGUCUCUAUGGGGCUAAUAGGGUCUCUGUGGGGUCUCUGUGCGGUCUUUAUGGGGUCUCUAUAGGAGCAAUAAGGCUGAUAUGGGGUUUCUAUGGGGUUAUGGGGUCUUUGUGGGGAUUGUGGGGUUUCUGUGCGUACAGUGGGGCCCCAUGGGGUUUUGGGGUCUCUAUGGGGAUUGUGGGUUUCCUGUGGGUGCAGCAGGGUCCCUGUGGGAUUUUGGGGUCUCUAUGGGGACUAUGGGGUCAUUUGGGUCCACAUGGGGGUUUUGGGGUCUCUGUGGGGACAAUGGGGUCCCCGUGGGAUUUUGGGGUCUGUAUGGGGACAAUGGGGUCCAUAUGGGGAUUUUGGGGUCCAUAUGGGGAUUUUGGGGUCUCUAUGGGAUUUUGUGGUCCAUAUGGGGAUUUUGGGGUCUCUAUGGGUACAAUGGGGUCUCUAUGGGGUCAUUAGGGUCCAUAUGGUGUCAUUGGGGUCUCUGUGGGUACAACGGGGUCCCGGUGUGAUUUUGGGGUCCCGCAUUCGGCGCUGGCCGCGCAGGUGCUGGGCAGCCCCGGGAACAACCUGCACGAGGUGGAGACGGCCGAGGGCUGCCGCUUCCUGGCCAGCAUGCCGCCCCGCUUCCGCCACCACGUCUGGAUCAAGCGAGGUGCGGACGGCGGCCGCCCCAUGGCUGCCCCAUGGCUGCCCCAUAGCUGCCCCAUAGCCGCCCCCAUUGCCACCUCGUGGCCCCCAUGGCCACCCCGUAGCCACACCAUUACCGCCUCAUAGACCCUAUAGCCACCAUCAUGGCUGUCCCCAUAGCCAUCCCCAUGGCCACCCCAUAGCCAUCCCCAUAGUCAUCCCCAUGGCCACCCUAUAGCCGCCCCAUGGCCACCCCAUAGUCAUCCCCAUGGCCGCCCCAUGGCCACCCCAUAGUCAUCCCCAUGGCCACCCCAUGGUUGCCCCCAUAGUCAUCCCCGUGGUUGCCCCCAUGGCCACCCCAUAGUCAUCCCCAUGGCCACCCCAUAGUCAUCCCCAUGGCCAUCCCCAUAGUCAUCCCCAUAGUCAUCCCCA
rnacentral:lncRNA from 1 species